UUUUUUUUUUUUUUUUCUUGAGACAGAGUCUUGCUCUGUCGCCCAGGCUGGAGUGCAGUGGCGAGAUCUUGGCUCACUGCAACCUCCGCCCCCUGAGUUCAAGUGAUUCUCCUGCCUUGGCCUCCCAAGUAGCUGGGACUAUAGGUGCCCACCACCUCGCCUGGCUAGUUUUUGUAUUUUUAAUAGAGAUGGGUUUUCACCAUGUAGGCUGGUCUUGAACUCCUGAUCUCAAGUGACCUUCCUGUCUUGGCCUCCCAAAGUGCUGGGAUUACAGGCGUGAGCCACUGCGCCCGGCCGACUUUUUUUUUUUAAGAUCAGAGGACGGAGUUGUCUCUAGGUCUGUUCCUGCCCCUAAAAAACCACGUGGGUAUGGGUGGGUCACCCUCCUCCUGGGGCCUCAUUUUUCUCAUCUGAACAAUAGAGAUACGCCGUUUUCUUUCUUUCUCUCUGUCUCUCUCUCUCUCUCAUUUUCUCUCUUUCUUCAUCUUUUUUUGAGAGAGUCUCAAACUUAAUCUUAAAUUUGUCUGUCACCCAGGCUGGAGUGCGGUGGCUCGACCAUGGUUUACUGUGGCCUCGUGAACCUGGGCUUAGGUGAUCCUCCCACCUCAACCUCCCAGGUAGGUGAGACUACAGGCACACACCAUCACACCCAGCUAAUUUUUUUUUUUUUUUUUUUAAUUGAGACGGGGUUUUGCCAUGUUGCCCAGGCUGGUCUCGAAUUCCUGGUGAAAUCGCUUUACAAAUUUAUGACUGAAAUAGUGAGACAGAUCUAACUUAACCGACUCCAUCUUGCUUCUAACCUCCAAGCUGUCCUUGAUCAUUCCGGCUGAACUAACUUUGGGAGAAACUUAGUUUAUAGUUUAUAAUUUAAACAAAGAUGGUAAAGGCAGUAACAGCCCUUUCCCAAAGCAGACCUCCUUCUUGCCUGGUGACUAGAUUACCUUUGUAGGACUCACAUUCGCCACAGAUUAGAAAUUAUGGUUUAGGAGUCAUGCAGCUGGAGGUUACAAGAUUCUAACCCCACCCUAAACUGCUCCUAAAAUCAGUGCUUGAGAUAUUUUGCAGACCGUGUACUUGAUGAAUCAGCUAGUACCACCCAGAUCAAUAAACUGGCUCAUCUGAUCUUGUGGCCCCUACCCAGGAACUGACUCAGCACAAGAAGACAGCUUUAGCUCCCUAUGAUUUCAUCUCUGACCAGUCAGCAGUCCGGGCUCACUGGCUUCCCCCCACCCACCAAGUUAUCCUUAAAAACUCCGCUCCCGGAAUGCUUAGGGAGACUGAUUUGAGUUAUAAUAAAACUCUGGUCUCCCGCACAGCCAGCCCUACAUGAAUUACCCUUUCUCUAUUGCAAUUCCCCUGUCUUGAUGAGUCGGCUCUGUCUAGGCAGUGGGCAAGGUUAACCCCUUGGACGGUAACCCAAGGCAAUCCUCCUGCCUUGGCCUUGUUUUUUUAUUUCUUUAUGUACCUGUCUACCAUUGGAUUAUAAUCCCUUCAGGUCAGGGCCC
rnacentral:lncRNA from 1 species